UAAUCAGAUGGGCAUACCCACAAUCCAGGU
rnacentral:piRNA from 1 species